rnacentral:rRNA from 1 species
GAGUUUGAUUCUGGCUCAGGAUGAACGCUGGCGGCAGGCCUUAUACAUGCAAGUCGAACGGCAGCACGAGAUUAGCUUGCUAAUCUUGGUGGCGAGUGGCAAACGAGUGAGUAAUAUGUAGGAACUUCCCUUAAGUAGGACAUAGCCAGUCGAAAGAUUGGGUAAUAUCCUAUGUGACCCAAAAGGUUAAAGACGCAAGUCGCUUAAGGCAAGGCCUACAUCCCAUCAGCUAGUUGGUAGGGUAAUGGCCUACCAAGGCGAAGACGGGUAGCUGGUCUGAGAGGAUGACCAGCCACGCUGGGACUGCGACACGGCCCAGNCACCUACGGGUGGCAGCAGUAGGGAAUCUUCCGCAAUGGGCGAAAGCCUGACGGAGCCAUGCCGCGUGC